AAAUUGAAGAGCUUGAUCAUGGCUCAGAUUGAACGCUGGCGGCAGGCCUAACACAUGCAAGUCGAGCGGUAGCACAGAGAGCUUGCUCUCGGGUGACGAGCGGCGGACGGGUGAGUAAUGUCUGGGAAACUGCCUGAUGGAGGGGGAUAACUACUGGAAACGGUAGCUAAUACCGCAUAACGUCGCAAGACCAAAGUGGGGGACCUUCGGGCCUCAUGCCAUCAGAUGUGCCCAGAUGGGAUUAGCUAGUAGGUGGGGUAAUGGCUCACCUAGGCGACGAUCCCUAGCUGGUCUGAGAGGAUGACCAGCCACACUGGAACUGAGACACGGUCCAGACUCCUACGGGAGGCAGCAGUGGGGAAUAUUGCACAAUGGGCGCAAGCCUGAUGCAGCCAUGCCGCG
rnacentral:rRNA from 1 species